rnacentral:lncRNA from 1 species
UUUUAUCAAGAUUAUCUAUAAAUAUUUAUAUUUAGUGUGGAUUUGUAAGAGAGCAUCACAAUUUUGAAUUGGUAUUUUAUACAUUAUGUAUGAAUCAUUAUUCUUGUUUAUUUUUCAUGAAUUCUUUCGAUUGAAAUUGUUUGAUGGUAAAAUAUUUAACUUUAUUUCGUUGAGUCAAGUUAAAUUUCCUAAUGAGAUUGUUAAGAUGGUUUAAUAGAGCUAUGUUCUUUUUUAUGGAUUAGUCUUUAAUAUAUUUUCUGUUAAGUCAUCUACUUUUAUUUAUAUUUUAUGGGUUUCUUGUCAAAAAAAAUUAUAAUGCGGUUUUCCGUUUAGACUCUGCAAAUAUGUACUAUUAAAUUUAUGCUUGCAAUUUUUUA